rnacentral:rRNA from 1 species
GAUGAACGCUGGCGGCGUGCCUAAUACAUGCAAGUCGAGCGAACAGACGAGGAGCUUGCUCCUCUGACGUUAGCGGCGGACGGGUGAGUAACACGUGGAUAACCUACCUAUAAGACUGGGAUAACUUCGGAAAACCGGAGCUAAUACCGGAUAAUAUAUUGAACCGCAUGGUUCAAUAGUGAAAGACGGUUUUGCUGUCACUUAUAGAUGGAUCCGCGCUGCAUUAGCUAGUUGGUAAGGUAACGGCUUACCAAGGCAACGAUGCGUAGCCGACCUGAGAGGGUGAUCGGCCACACUGGAACUGAGACACGGUCCAGACUCCUACGGGAGGCAGCAGUAGGGAAUCUUCCGCAAAGGGCGAAAGCUUGACGGAGCAACGCCGCGUGAGUGAUGAAGGUCUUCGGAUCGUAAAACUCUGUUAUUAGGGAAGAACAAAUGUGUAAGUAACUAUGCACGUCUUGACGGUACCUAAUCAGAAAGCCACGGCUAACUACGUG